rnacentral:rRNA from 1 species
GACAGAGGGUGCAAACGUUGUUCGGAAUUACUGGGCGUAAAGCGUGUGUAGGCGGCUAUGUAAGUCGGAUGUGAAAGCCCCAGGCUCAACCUGGGAAGUGCACGCGAUACUGCGUAGCUUGAGUAUCGGAGAGGUUGGUGGAAUUCUCGGUGUAGAGGUGAAAUUCGUAGAUAUCGAGAGGAACACCGGUGGCGAAGGCGGCCAACUGGACGAAUACUGACGCUGAGACACGAAAGCGUGGGGAGCAAACAGG